GCCACUGUGUCGAUAUACCAAACUGUCCUUAAUAGCAAAGUUUGCUACGCAGUAUGUGACCCGCAUAUGAAGAUUUAAGACGAAUUAACGUAUGAAAAUCAGAACCCCGGGACGUUUGAUUUGUACAUUCACGAACAAUUUAAUCAAAAAAUACAGAUUACGACAAAAUCUUGUUACAACAAUGGACUGAUACCACAUUGUGUGUUUGGAGUAACGGUCCAAGCCGGAAGUGACGUUUAUAUUUUAAGCACGUGUACCAGCAGAGUGCUUGAUGUCAGGUUUAUACAGUGCGGUGACGGAAUUCUCCGGGAGAAAAGAAACAACAUUUCAAAGACGCAGUACCGUGGUCCAAAGCAAAGAUAAUCUAUUCAACGUUGUAGCAGUAUACAAUCAAGCUGUACACAGAGGGAACUGCAAGACAAGAUUGCAUGCAGAUAUUGAACACAACAGCAUUCCAAAAAUGUUCUAAUGUACCAGGUGUGGACUUCACAGCAAAAAUACAUGACUGCAUUAUUGACGCUCAGCUUACUCCACCACCACCGAGGCAGCAGCAAUUUCUCAUUCUUAUACUCGUGGACGCGCAAACGGCUAUCGAGGCAGAGACGCAAUCCGGAAGUAUCCAUACGCCUAACCACCUCUGCUAGUGGCCACCCAAUGGUUUUCCUUCUUAGGGGCUGGUAUGCCAUACAAACAGUGAGUAAAUAAUGCUGCACCACGGCACCAUAUGUUUUAACGAACCUCACUACCCGACUCGGCUCGAAAAGCAACCACCAACCAGGAUAUGAAUGGACAAGCCAACCAACUCGUGAUGACGAUAUUAGCAGCGCAAUCCAACAGGGCUUGACAAGCAGCAGGUCUGGAGAUGUAACGACAAAAAGAACGACCUUAGCAAUCUUGACAACCAAUUCUACCGUAGAUGGCAUGACCAAGAGCACGAUGAAAAAAAGCUCUACAAGUAGUACGACAGGAGAUGGUAAUACCAAAAUAUCGACCCAAACAAGUUUGACAAACAGUUCGAUCGGAGAUUAUAUGACUCAAAGCGCGGUCAAAAAUAGCUUGACAAGCAGUACGACCGAAGAUGGUAUGACUUAAGACAAUACAACAAUUGACAUGACAAGUAGCAUAGCUCGAGAUGGUUUGACCACAGUCUCAACCAAAAUCGGCUUGUCAAGUAGAACGACUGGAGAUGGUGUUACAAGAAGCUCGAUCCAAAAUGGCUUAACAAUCAGUACAAGUGGAGAUGCUUUGACAAACAACCAAGGCGCAAAAUGGCAAAAUUUUGUAUUGUGCUGUUUUGUACUGUUUGGGCAAUCGGUCACUUGCCUUAAAUAAAGGGCCUACUAAUUGUUUUUAAUGAAAAUUCAAUACUGCUCCAGCAGCUGGAGUUUCACUUCUCUAUAUUGACAAUCAGUAAGAUCGAGGAUGGUGUGAACAAAAGCACGAACCCAAUUGGAUUAACAAGAAGUACAAUUAUAUAUGGUUGGCCAGGCCCUGUUUAGAACGGAAACAGGAUAUAGGCUCUAAAAUCUCUAUACUUUUUUGUCUCCUUUUUUGGCCGACUUUUCAUAUUAUGUUGACAAUACUUGCGCAUUUAAUUUACCUUAUUUUGUAUUAUUAUCCAUGUCGUUUAUAUUGUGAAAAUGAAAAAUUGGGUGUUUGCUUCUAGAAAACUUUGCGAAAAAGUUGUUACAUGCUUGCACUAUCAUUCAUUUUAGUAAGUUGCAAGUUAUCAGUUGCAUUGUACAUUGCUGAAUUUAAUGUAGAUUUUUCAGUGUAUAUUAUACUGUUACUGCACUGUGUAAUCAGAGAGAUUAAACAAUUAUACGGAGAAAGUACCGAUAAAGCUGAUUAUAUGUUCCAGUAAGACGCCACUUUAC